GGGGAAUAUUGGACAAUGGGCGCAAGCCUGAUCCAGCCAUGCCGCGUGGGUGAAGAAGGCCUUCGGGUUGUAAAGCCCUUUUGUUGGGAAAGAAAAGCAGCCGGCCAAUACCCGGUUGUUCUGACGGUACCCAAAGAAUAAGCACCGGCUAACUUCGUGCCAGCAGCCGCGGUAAUACGAAGGGUGCAAGCGUUAAUCGGAAUUACUGGGCGUAAAGCGCGCGUAGGUGGUUCGUUAAGUUGGAUGUGAAAGCCCCGGGCUCAACCUGGGAACUGCAUCCAAAACUGGCGAGCUAGAGUAUGGCAGAGGGUGGUGGAAUUUCCUGUGUAGCGGUGAAAUGCGUAGAGAUCGGGAGGAACAUCAGUGGCGAAGGCGACUGCCUGGGCCAACACUGACACUGAGGCACGAAAGCGUGGGGAGCAAACA
rnacentral:rRNA from 1 species